rnacentral:rRNA from 1 species
AUUGAACGCUGGCGGCAGGCCUAACACAUGCAAGUCGAGCGAGCGGAGGACGGGUGAGUAAUGUCUGGGAAACUGCCUGAUGGAGGGGGAUAACUACUGGAAACGGUAGCUAAUACCGCAUACCAUCAGAUGUGAGCAGAUGGGAUUAGCUAGUAGGUGGGGUAACGGAUCACCUAGGCGACGAUCCCUAGCUGGUCUGAGAGGAGUACCAGCCACACGGGAACUGAGACACGGUCCAGACUCCUACGGGUGGCAUCAGUGGGGAAUAUUGCACAAUGGGUGCAAGCCUGAUGCAGCCAUGCCGCGUGUGUGAAGAAGGCCUUCGGGUUGUAAAGCACUUUCAGCGUGGAGGCGUUACCCGCAGAAGAAGCACCGGCUAACUCCGUGCCAGCAGCCGCGGUAAUAC